GCGCCUACGGGACGCAGCAGUGAGGAAUAUUGGUCAAUGGCCGGAAGGCUGAACCAGCCAAGUCGCGUGAGGGACGACUGCCCUAUGGGUUGUAAACCUCUUUUAUAAAGGAAUAAAACGAGGCACGUGUGCCUUUUUGCAUGUACUUUAUGAAUAAGGAUCGGCUAACUCCGUGCCAGCAGCCGCGGUAAUACGGAGGAUCCGAGCGUUAUCCGGAUUUAUUGGGUUUAAAGGGAGCGUAGAUGGGUUGUUAAGUCAGUUGUGAAAGUUUGCGGCUCAACCGUAAAAUUGCAAUUGAUACUGGC
rnacentral:rRNA from 1 species